CGCAAAAAGAAGUAGAAUAGGGAUUUGAAGAUGAGAUCAAAACAUACUAGCUUAUAAAAGGAGGAAAAAAACAAAAAGGUAGCAACAAUCAACUGAUCAUGCUAGAAUAUUAUAGUCCCAUAACAAAUUCUGACUUUUUGACAUGCUAACUCAGAAUUACUCCUUCGAUCGAUCUUCCUUGCCUAAAACUCAAAAGCUUCUCCCAUUUUCAACAGAACAAGAAGCAAAAAAAAAAAAAAAAUUCCCACUGUUACCUGUUAUGCAAAGGAUUAGGUCCAGUAGGAACCAUUCUUUUAUCAUCACCAUUGCCAAUGUAAUUCUUGUUUUUCGUCAAGCUGCUGCCAUUGGAGAAGUACCUUGAGAAAUGAACUUUAAUCAAAUUUUGGCUUUUACUUUCUGUAGCUAAUUC
rnacentral:lncRNA from 1 species